GGGGCACAAGUGGGGAGGGAGGGAAGAGAAGAAGGAUGCUUUAUCCACUUAGGGCUUGUGGAGAGCUAAUCUCAUGGACUACUGGGAGGAGAACUUGGACCCUCUUUCUCUGAUGGUCAUUAGCUUCCAGCCCCUGCUAUGGCCUGAAGCUACUUCAGGAUCCUGUGGAAAAGCUGCAUUAUAAUCGAUAGCCUCAUAAAUAAAUGAAGAGUCAACGCAGCCUGUCUCCUCCAGCUCAGGGCAUCUUCAGGAAAAUCGAACCUCGAGCCACUUCUGCUCACCCAUUCUGGAUUUCUACAGAGGCCUCCAGAGGGAAGGAAUCUUACAGGUCAUCCUGAGCAUCCCCCUGCCUCUGGGCUGGCCUGCCAUGUACCCCAUCCAAGGAGGUCUGCUUGCCACCCCUACCCAGGAAGGCCUGCCCUCUCCUGGCAGACUCCCUUCUCCCAGUCCCCUGGGGCUCUCACUGUGAGUUCUUGCUCACCUUCAUUCUCUUGCUCCUGGUGAACUCCCCCUCUCCUUUCCACCCGGGCCAUUUGCUUCUCACCACUCCUGAUUUCUGACUAUUGCUUGGCACCAAACAGGAUCAGCAGCAGGAGGAAGGGAGUCACUCCCCACUCCUCUGGAGUCUCCUCUCCAUACUCACCCCUCCGACUUCUUGUCAUCAAUUGUAAAUGGGCCCCUUGGGAUCUGACAGAGUAUGCAUUUCUGGAAGCAAUGGACAAAGACCCUUGUAACUUUACAGAACAGAUACGUGCCAGUAAGUUGACUGCAAGGCAAUCCUUCCUCUCUCUGCCUUCUAUUACAUCACUGGAGAUGUUCUUCUCGUGGGAAAAAGGAAAUCUCCAACAAGGAAGUUCAAUAUUUUGGAAUCCAAAGACCAAGAGGGUGGUCAGCCCUGUGUGGUGAUGGGCGUCAGCCUUCUGGGUUCCUUGAAACACCUCAGGACCUCUCCUCUGUUUGAUGCCUUGGUUUCCCCUCCGCUUCCCUGGCCCAGACAGAGAACACUCCCAUGGCUAAGGAUUCUUAAGCGCUGCUUGGGUAGUUAGCAUGGAGAAAGGAGUCAUCUGGUUGUGACAGCCCUCUGUAUUCGUAAUUAUUGACCACCAUGCUCCAGUUGAUCCCUGGGGGCUGAAAACUCCUUUAAUUAAAGGUUUCUGACUACAAGAUACUAUAUCCC
rnacentral:lncRNA from 1 species